CGCAUUGAAAACUUUGGAUCUUUAGCCGCUAAAUGUCUCAAUCGGACUUGGCCGCAAAUUUGGAGAGCACUGGUUUAUGAGUUAAGACUUAAUUUAUAAGAUACAUCACUAAAUAACUAAGUUGGUUUGAUUAGAUCUAAAUUGGUAAGAAACACAUUGGCAUUCACUUAAUAACAGUUAUUACCAAUGUUAUUACAGUUACUGUGCAUAUAUAUUUACACCAUUGGGC